rnacentral:lncRNA from 1 species
GCCUGCUGCCAUGUAAGACUUGCCUUUCCUCCUCUGCCUUCUCCCAUGAUUGUGAGGCUUCCCCAACCAUGUGAAACUAUAGACCUGUUUCCACUUCAAAAGGAUGACCUGCGAUUCAACAGCGGCCCAGCCCACAUGUGGUCCUUGAGCUGAGCAUCCUGGAACCAGAAGGAGAUACUGUGUCCCCAGACAGAAAGGUACCCAAGAUCCUGCAGAAGAGAGCACGUGAGGGUCAAGGCUGGGACAGCAAUAACCUUUCCUCAUCACCUGCCUGCACCCUUCCAUGUUAACAUACUGUGAACCGAGCAGAAGUGACAAAACCAAUCCAUCACCCCAGAGCCAACACAAAGAGGAAUAGAGAGGUUAACAGAAAUUGAUGACAUCCCCGCUGGAAUUUUACACUGAUUCGGCCAGCCCUGCGAUUGAAAUAGACAAAGAUUUAUAGUCCGAGCGAGGACGCUGGCUGCUCUUGAUUGCCUUGAUUUUUUUUAUGCGCUCCUGCAUAUUUAUUCCCAAGCUCAUCACCGGCUUGUAGCAUUAGAAUGCUGAUUUGAUUGUACAUUCCAAGAGGAGCAGGCAUUAUGCAGCCAUUUGCAUGAUGUGAGAGAAAUCACCAGAACUUUUCUGAUAUCAGCGCCAAAAUGAUCACUAAUGUUCACCUGCAAAAGCAGGAUUGUGUAAUAUUUUUUUUUGAAAUUCAGAUUUCCUUCUGCUUUUUCUCAGCGUAAAAAUAAAAAAGGGGAAUUAUUCUAUAUCCUGUGGAUGAGAAAUUGUGUUUUGUCAUGCCUCCGAGGGCUACAGCGGCAUCGAGCUUUUAUGAAUUCGUUUGAUAUCAGGGCUGUGCGUUUCGAGUUCCAACACAAAUUUUUCCCCCCAUGAUAUUAUUACUGAAAGCUUUUAUCAGUUCAUUGUGACAGCAAAUUGAUAAUUAUCCUUGACAUUUGAUGGAUAGCUUUCAUAAAAGUACUUUUUUUUUUUUGGAUUUCAUGUUGCCCUAUAAAGCUCCCCCUUACUCCCUCCCCAAAAAACUUUCUCAAGACACGAAAAGAAUUUCUCAGUUCUCCUGGAAACCUUCCUCUAGGCAUCUGCAGUGGAGGAUCAAGUGCCUAAGAAAAAAAGUUAAAGGGAAGCCACAGAUCUGGACUUGCUGUUUCCUCUGCCCUGCACCUGCCAAUGAGAACUUAGAAUGCACCCAAGAGACAGGCCCCUGGGACUCUCAGAUAAGAUUCUGAGCCUGAUCUAUUCCACGAUUUUAUAUUUUAUCACCAUGAGCAAUUCUAAGUAUGACCAUACAUGAGAAAACAUAGACAGGAUACUUUUUUAAAAUUCUGUUAGAAUUUUAUUAAUUCUAGAAUUAAAUUGUUAAUUUCAGUGCCUCAAAUAAUUAUAUCAAGGGCAAAUGUAUUAUUUUCCAAAUAUUUAAGCACUUUUUGAAAUGUGACACUUUUUAGACUCCAGUCUGCCUUCAAAGAAUGUUUAAGUAACAUGUGACCUUUUGCUAUAUCAGUUAGAGAGUCUAUCCAUUAACUAGAAUGUAAUAGUCAGAACGCUUUGCUUUCUUUGCAGUGUUCACUC